AUGCUGAAGUCCAGCUCAAGAAUUACGGGAGAUUUCUUGAAGAAUACACCUCUCAGUUGCAGAGAAUUGAAAAUGCUCUGGAUGAUUCUAUUGGGGAUGUAUGGGACUUUAGCCUGGAUCCAGUGGCACUCAAGCUUGUGCCUUAUGAGCAAUCAUCUCUCCUUGAGCUCAUCAAGACAGAAAACAAGAUUUUGAAUAAAGUUAUAACUGUAUAUGCUGCACUGUGUUGUGAAAUUAAGAAGCUAAAAUAUGAGGCUGAAACAAAGUUUUACAAUGGAUUAUUAUUCUAUGGAGAAGGAG